AACAUGCUCUUCAACAUAGGAAGAAGUCAUCAACGGUGUUCUAUCAACAACACAAGCUCCAUUCACCUACAAGAACAGAAUGGAAUAUCAAGUACUUGGAUCGUUCAAGCAGAUUACAACCAACAUAUAUAUAUAUGUAGAAGUACAUCAGGAAAUAUGAUGGAGCAAUCGGACAACAAAUACAUUAAGUAAACAGCCCAACCGAUGAGUGAUGACGACAAGCAAAGAGUAUAAACCCAGGUUUGGACAUAAAUAGUGUCAACUCAAGCAGAACAUAAUAAGGCAGUAAACUCAAGCAGAACAUAAUUAAGCACGAUGAAAGGGACCAUCCAAUUAAAUUCCAUUCCCAUCUUCUUCAGUAAGGACAGGCAAAACAUCCCAGCAUAUCUCAAGUCGAUGAAUUAUUCUAGCAAUAACCAAAUUAGAAACAUCCCUUGUUGUUCCAUUUAACCAUACUACAAGACUGUAGAAGAAUCACCCUUGGUGAAUCAAAUCAUAGCAAAUCGAGCAACAGAUACAAGAGGCACAUCAGGCCUAGCCAUUUUUGUUUCAGUAAUUUAGAAAGAGGGGCGAUGGGGCACGGAACCUUGAGGCCCUGUUACGGGGUUGUGUUUGAUGAAGGUUGCCCUUUGGGGCGGCAGCUGCAGCUCCGCCAGAUGCAGCAGCAGCUCCUCCUACCGGCACGACGGCGGUGACAGCACAAAUGGUCACCUAUGUGACAUUUCAGAUCAUCAUUACAGAAUUUAAUUUAUUUAUUCAAGACGCAAGCAGCAAAGAUAGUGUCCACCUUCGCAUAUAGAACCGAGCAUAGAUUUACAGCACAUCAAUGAUUCAAGUAGUUCAAGACUUAAUUACUUUUUCAACAUCAGGGUAAGAGAUAUGGAACAAAAAUGCACAAAUGGUGCCUAUUGAGUGAGAGCAAGAAUAAUAAAGGGGCACAGCUGUGUGAAACUGUUAUCAGCAUUGUUUCAAAGUUUACUGUGGCAUAUUUUUCAUGAUCAGUAUGACUUCUUAUAAAUAAUAACCAAUAGUACUGCCGCCAGAUCCUUACACAUGUAUAAUGGCAUGAAUAGAGCAAUAGAGCAAUGCCCAAUCCUUACACAUGUAUAAUGGCGUGAAUAUGCAAGUUAGACCUAGAUGUUACUAACAAGUGUUAUUUGCAUAAUUAAUGAAUAAGUGUGGUAUUUCUGACUAGCCAGAAUCAAUCUUUGUGCAUACAUCUGGCCAUGUUGUUCCUUGCCAAAUAAGCUCCCAAAAGUAGUAUUAAUAAAAUUGAAACAGAAUAACAUUUACAGGACUACAUGAACCACAACAAGAAAUUUUCUGUUGCGAGUAAGCUACUUGCCUUUGUCCAUUUGCUCCCACCAAGUCAAUCUAUUAUACAUCCCUUGAUCAUCAGCGAAUGGAGUUCCCUUCUUCCAGUGGAAGAAGUUGUAUGUAAUCUGAAAUGAAGAUUCAGUUAGGAAAGCAAUGACAAUAGAGAAAUAAUUUCUAGAUAGUAUGUUUCAAGCUAUAAUCUUAUGAGAAAAAUAGCAAUAAUUUGUACUUCCAGAAUUGAGGUUGGGCCAACUAGAACUACAGUAUUUACUGCCAGAAUGAUUUCAUGAAUUUUGCCACUACAUGAUUAUAUUUAAAGUAGCAAAAGAAUUAUUAAAUGCAGGCUAUUUAUUUGGCUAUUAUGAAACAGUAAACCUUCAAACUAGAAUACACUUUAUUAGUUGGCAGGAUUGGCGAAUGUGUCGUAGCAAUCUAAGAAACAGAAGUGCAUUUCUAUGUGGUAAAAUGAUGUGCCUAGUUGCUGAAAAAUGAUGUCUAUUUAUGUUGACAGAAUGCUUUUUAGGAGUUGGCAUCCAGUUCCUAUUGAGCUAUACAAGGAGGCUAGAAUUGAGCAUUGUCGUGCAACUAGGGACUUGAGUAGCUACGGCUGCUAUGUGCAACAUGUGCUCAUCAACAACAAAAAUUCCCACACUCAUCAAUUAGUAGAAAUGAAACUGAUAGUAGUAUAGUAGGUGUGGUCUGGUCCUAGCAGCAAAAAAACUUGUCACUUAUGCAUCAGAGAGAGGGGGACUACCAAAUUGAGUUGCUCUUUCAUCCAUGGUGGCGUCCCUGCAUCCAUGUAGCUGCUGCUGCUGCUGACCUUGAAGAUGCAGCUCGUCGUUCUGCUGUUGUACCAAACGAACCUUGUCGCUGCUGCACGCAUAAUAACAAAUAAGAAGUGGUUUGUCAGAUCAAACCAGAACCUUCCAUGAGAGAGAGAGAGAGGGAGAGGGAGGGAGGGAGAUUUCAAACCUUCCAUGGGCAGUAGCUAGGAGGAGUAGGCAGAGCAGAGGAGGGAGCAGCAUCUAGGAGGAGGAGGCAGAGCAAAGGAGGGAGCAGCAGCAGCACCAGAGCAACCUGCACACACAAAACAAACAAACAAACGCAGGAAUCAGAAGUGAGGAGAAGAAGAAAUGGCCGACUGCCGACUGCUGGAAUUGCCGGAGAUGGCCGGCUGUCGACUCGCGUUUGCCAUGGACGUCUCCGCCACCGUGCCCUCAUCGCCCCGUCCCCAUCCAUCCAUUGGUGGGUGGGUGAAGGUCUACAGUGUCGGGCCUCAUCCGCCCAUGGGUCGGACGGACCUGAGGGAGGGAGAGCUAGGGAGCGAGGGAGGGAUGUCGCGGUGGUGAUGGGGUUGGGGGAGACGGUCACCGGUGGGGUUGGGGGUGGGUGUCGGCACCNNNNNNNNNNNNNNNNNNNNNNNNNNNNNNNNNNNNNNNNNNNNNNNNNNNNNNNNNNNNNNNNNNNNNNNNNNNNNNNNNNNNNNNNNNNNNNNNNNNNNNNNNNNNNNNNNNNNNNNNNNNNNNNNNNNNNNNNNNNNNNNNNNNNNNNNNNNNNNNNNNNNNNNNNNNNNNNNNNNNNNNNNNNNNNNNNNNNNNNNNNNNNNNNNNNNNNNNNNNNNNNNNNNNNNNNNNNAAUGAGGAGGAGCCACCGCGGGGGAAGCGUGCGCGAGCAGGAGAGGAUGAGGGGGGAGAGUGAGGCUGGCGGCGAGAUUGGAUCUGGGGAGGGGAUAGGGUUUGGGUGGUUAGAGGGGAUGAGGGGGGAGAAGGGGGCGGCGACGAUGGAUCCGGGGAGGGGAUAGGGUUUGGGUGGUUGGGCUGCCCGGGGGUGGGGUUCUUUUUCUUUCUUUCUAUUUUUUUCUUUAGAUAAAUGCGAUGGAUGGAUGGAUGCCAUGUCGUCGAUCCAUGGCACAAACAUUUCAACCAAUAAGAACAAAGCUUAUGUAAUUGUAUGAACAGCCUUCCAUGAAUGCAGCUUCCUCUUCAUGUCAGAAAAAAAGGAAAAUGGAUCUAGCUUCUGUUAGUUUGCCAUCUUCUCCUCGAGAAUAUAAUGACUAAAUUUGUCAUGUCACCAUUUACAAAUUCAGAAAAAUGUUCAUGUUUUUUUAGAGAACGAACUCGUUAAUUUGUAGUUUUUUCAAUCAUGGCAACCCCCUAUGCACAUUGUAUAUCCUUUUUGCCAUGUUAUUCUAGAAAACAUGGCAAUUUUCUUAGCUUGUUUUUACUUUGUACAUGGCAAAAAUAAAGCAGAAUAAGUUUUUUGUGAAAACAUGGCAAUUUCUGUUAAGCAACAUGGAAAUUCUUGUUAAAACCACAUGGCAAGUCAUAAGGAAUUUUUUAUUAAGUAAAAUCAAAUGGCAAAAUUAGUUGUUCCAUGGCAAUUUUCUUUUUUCUUUUUCAUGAUGGCAAAUUUAAUUUUUGUACCAUGGCUUCUUCUCUAUCUUCUUUUCAUGAUGGCAAGUUUAUUUUAGUACCAUGGAAAAAUGUAUUAUUCAUUCGCGGAAAUUUCCAUGUUCGUAGAACAUGGCAAAUUGUACUAUUCUGUCAUGGCAAAUUAUACUAUUCGAUCAUGGCAAUUUUCAACCCGCAUUUUACCAUGGUUAUUUUCAGUCUGUAGGCCUAAAGAACAUGGCAACUUUCCUUUUUGUAGCAUGGUUAAUUUAUUUUUUAUUACCAUGGCAAAUUUCAUUUUGCAUUUGCUAUUGCAAAUUUUUCUUUUUCUUACCCAUGGGAAAUUUACCUUUACUGCCAUGGCAAAAUUACAUAUCUUGCCAUGGCAAUUUUUUUAUUUUUUUAUUUUGCCAUGGCAAUAUUUCCUUUUGCUUUGUCAUGGCAAAUUUUGGAUUCAUUGACAUGGCAAUUUUCACCUUUUGUUUCGCACGACAAUAUUUUCAUUCAUUGAGAUGGAAAAUUUACAUUUAUUGUUACGGCAAAUUUACUUCAACAUACAUGGCAACAUUUUGCUUUUUGGUUUUGCCAUGGCAAUAUUUUUCAUUAAUUGACAUGGCAAACUUGCAUUUAUUGCCAUGGCAAUUUUAUUUUAACAUACAUGGCAAAAUUUCCCCCUUUAGUUUUGCCAUGGCAAUUUUCCCUUUUGUUCCCCUGGGCAAAUUCAUGUCUACUGUCAAGGCAAAAGUACUUCAACAUACAUGGCAAACUUUAACUCUUUGUUUUGCUUUUACAUGGCAAUUUCUUUUCUUUUUCUUGACUUUCCAUGUUGGCGAAAUUAUAUUUUCUACCAUGGCAAUUUUAUUUUCUGUAUCACGGAAAAUUUCAUUUUUUUCCUUUUCUGUUAUUUUUUUUAGCAUGAUGGCAUUUUUAUUUUACCACCAUGGCAAUUUUAUUUUUUGUAACGUGGCAAAUUAUUCUGUUGGACCAUGGCAAUUUUUUUCUUUUUCUUUACUUUUCAUGAUGGCAACUUUAUUUAGCUACGUCGCAAAGUUUUUCUUGUAACAUGGACGAUAAAAAUUGUCUACCAUGGCAAGCUCAUUUAUGUGCAUACAUCCUCCCUUUUUCAAUUUUUCGAUAAAUUUCUUUUUAAGUAAAUUAUUUUUGAAAUAAAACAUGGUGAUUUUUUCUCUAAUAACAAUAAAAAUUAUGUUUUCGUCUUUUUUACUACGAUGGCGAUUUUAUUUGAUUACCAUGGCAGUUUUAUUUUUUAUGUAUUAUACCAUUGGACCAUGGAAAAUUAUUUUUCUUCUUAUUGUUCAUGAUGGCAACUUUAUUAAAUAAUCCUUUUCGGGAUGACCCGUCAUGAUGAAGCCCAGAGCGAAUGUCAAUUGGUUAAUGAGAAGAAAAACAAAUUUGGGCUUUCAUUUGUCUCAGAAAAAAAAACUAGUUUUGUUCGCGCCGGAACUAAUUUUAUUUCCCACGACAAUAUUCGAACGACAAUAUUUUCCCUCGUACCGAACUUCAGUUCGGACCGCUCGCGUCCCGGCCCGAACGUUCAGCAUAUAUCGAGGUCCUUUAUUAUACAUUUAAAUUCUUUUUUUCUAUUUUUGAGCAUCAGUACAGACACAAGCGCUCAUAUACACGCGCAUACACUCACCCCUAUGAACGCACUCACGCACACCCUACCCUCCGAGAGACUGAGCCGGCAUACCAUCUUGAGAAUUACGAAGUCACCGUAGGCGCUUCGUCGUCGACGAGAACGUCUCCUCCAAUUGAAAGCACAUCGCCGGAAAUCCUGAAAUAAAUUCAGAAAUAAUGCGAGCACCAGGAUUUGAACCCUGAUAGGUUGGGGAUACCACUGUCCACCUAACCAUCUCAACCACAGGUUGGUUCGCAUUAUACAUUCAAAUUCAUUUAAUGUGGUGUAACUACUAAAAGAGUUUCACUUUGAUGCAUGAGCAACAAAUGGAGACGUUUGAAACCAUAAACACAAAUUUAUAGCGCCAGCAUCUAAUUACUCCUUAUACUCUUGUUAUAUAUAGUUCGAGUCGGACAGAGAAACAAAUCAGACGACCAUGGCCCCUCUCCAAGCUCUCUCCUCCGUCCUCGUCCUCCUGCUCCUCACACAGCACGCGCGCACGGCGAGGGCGAGCACGCUGGAGGACACGUGCAGGCUCGUCGGCACCGGCGGGGCGCAGGACUACGACUUCUGCGUGAAGACGCUGGGGGCGGACCCGGCGAGCGCGAUGGCCGACGAGCUCGGCCUGGUGGUCAUCGCGGUGAAGAUCGCCAUGGCGACCGCCAAGGCCACCGGCGACCGCAUCGCCCGGCUGCAGGCCUCCGAGACGUCGCCCCGGCGGCGGCUGGUCCUGGACGAGUGCGCCAACGACUACGCCUUGACAGUGCGCUGGCUGGGGCGCGCCUCCAUGGACUUGGCCGCGGGCGGGGACGAGGACCGGCUGACGGAGGCGGCCACCCUGCUGGAGCACGUUCGUGGCACGCCGGCGCGCUGCGACAAGGCGUUCGUCCUCUGGGCCGGCGAGAGGACGCCGCUGACCGACGCGGACCACGAGCUCAACGGGGUGACCGUGCUGGCGUUGAAAAUCUUGCGCCAUUGCUUAAAUGACGGGGUAAAAUGAGCAAGUAGCACGAGGCCUUCUUCUACCUCCGGAAGAAAAUGAUCAUCUUUUCCGGCAGUGAAAUAUGUGAUGUGCAACAAUAAAAUGAGUAAUAAUAAUAACUUGCAAAAUUUCCAAUGGAGAUUGUAGAACAUUGUGGUCUUAUCAGUAUUUAUUUAUUUCAAAAAUGACGCUGAAGAUUUUCUCUGAUUCACAAGAGUUCAUUCAGAUCAGGCGAGGAAGGUUACCAUUCGAUUUUCACUGACAAUUAGGUUUUUGAUUGAGGGUUCUGUGAUUCUCCAGCUACAUGUCUUGGGUACGUGGUACCUUUCUCUGACUCUUCUUUUCAUUAUGUAACCUCUCUGGCCUUUACAAAAAAGACGUUCUCAUAACUAAAUGUCUUUCUUGUGAUUCUGAUAGGCCCACCUACGACACAUGCAUGUACACCAUGUUUCUCUACUGUAAUUUAAUGUUAUAUUUAGAUGUUACAAAAAAAUUAUUUACAUGUUACACAAAAGAGUUCAGGGUUCACUUAGAGGAAUAAUUGCUUUGCAGGUAUACAUUUACUGAAAGGGACUGAUGUGCUGAACUUUCGAGAAUUCCGAUUGGUCGUUAAUAUAACCUUUUCUCCUUUUGUUGAAAUGUCCGAAGGAAUUUCCCUUAUUUUAGGUUUUCAACUUGAGGAGUUUCGUGCUUUUUGAGUGGAGCCAUCCACAUAUAUAAUAUGAUUCUCAAAAAUUCAUUAUGAGGUAAAAUCAUUAUAUACAUAUUGUUUCCUGUAUUUUUUGUGUGAGUAGGGCCAGCUUAUUGCAUGAUUAAUAAGACAUUUUUGUGUAGUUCACCGUUUAUUUUAUUAUGUCUGUAUAAACAAGAUUUUUUGGUUAUUUGGCCUCACAAAUGUUCUUUCUUGAACAGCAACCAGCAGAGAACAAGAACAACAAUAGUGAUGAGAAAGGAAGGAGCCGAGUAUGCCACACACUGAUACGAUGGUUUCCCCUGUGUUCUCUAUAUAUGGUAAUCCACUUCUUCACUGACUCAAAUUGUUUACUGGUGAGCUAACAAGAUGGUUUUGUGUCUUCCCUCUUUCUUUGUAAGUGAAUGACUUCAGGUUCUUGGGCAUUAUUCAACUGCCAUACUUGUGGGAAAUAAAUGUACUAAACUUGUGAGAUGGAUUGAUUAAUGGGCAGUGGAAUGGGAUUAGGGCUCGCAAUUUACAAACAAUGAGUUGCAACUAUAAAGAAUGGAUUGAUUAAUGGGCAGCAGAAUGGGAUUAGGGCUCUGCAUAGUUAUGAGUUGCAACUACAAAGAAUGGAUUGAUUAAUGGGUAGUACAAUGGGAUUAGGGAUCUGCACAGUUAUGAGUUGCAACUACAAAGAAUGGAUUGAUUAAUGGGUAGUGAAAUGGGAUUAGGGAUCGCAAUUUACAAACAACUCAAAAACGGUAAAAGUAACAAAAAUAUGAGUCGCACUUGGGUACGUGGUUGAAAAGAAAAUGAAACAUUGAAAUGCUUCUGCCUCCCAAAGAGGCGUACCAGCAUUUUCAUCGAAGGGAAAAUGUUUCAGAAUCUGGGGGUUUCAUCACCUGCUACUGUAACUGUUGUGUGUAAACAUGAGAGGUGCGCCUCUCAUUACAUUCCAUAUUUGCUUGAAUGCAAAUGUUUUAACUAUUAUGUGUAUAUAAAUGAGAGACGCAUUACCUCCAUAUUUGUUGGCAGGUCAAUGUUUUUAGAUAGGGUGCUAUUCAAUUCUAAUUGAUUUGCUCCAGGUAAACCCACGGGUCCUCGUCCUAGGGUUUCCGCCGCCGCCAUGGGCGACUCCCUUGCUUCCGCCCUAGUCUAAGCCGUUUCUCACCAUGAGUCUACGUGGUAGUUCGUCCUCCGGAUUACGGAGGGAGUCUAAGCCGUCUACGUUUCGUCUCGGAAGGAAGGAGCACCCGUCUGGGGCCGUGACCGGCAAGGGAACUGUGGCGGGCGGGACUCUCAUAAGUCCUCCAGUCCGCCGCAAUCUUCCUGGCAAGAUUGCGCCUUUCAAUAACCCGCUCUUCGACCCUAAAGCUACGUCUGCAGCAACCGCGCGCUCUCCAUCGAUGUCGUCCGCUGGCGAUGGGGGUGAAAAAGGGGGGGCCGAUGAGGCCCCUACCCACCCGAAGUCGUUCGGUGGCGAUGCGAUGGUGCCCGCGCGGGGUUCCGGAGGUCAGAUCGAGCCGGCGGAAGAGUUUGAUCACACCAGCAACUGGGAUGAGAGGGAAAGUGUGGGGCUGGAUGGUCCGGAGGUCAGUAUUGGCGGCGAGGUGAACCUAGAUGAUGAUGUUGUUGUGGAAGAGGAACCUGCAGUGGAGCCGGUGGCGGCGCCGCCGCGAUGGAGAUUGCUAGGCCGUUACGUCAGCAUCGGGCGCCCAAACGUCGACGACAUGACGGAACACUUCAGCGAGGUCUGGAAGGUACGAACAAGCCUCAAUAUUGCAAGGAUUAAGAACAAUUGGUAUGCGGUGACCUUCUUCUCCGAGGGAUAUUACAACUUUGUAGCAAGAGGAGGAUCUUGGAUUUUCAAGGGAAACACACUCAUUGUUGGCCCGUUCAAGGAAGGAGAGCAGCCUUCUGAGGCUGUACUGAAUUCAGUCCCGAUCUGGGUCCGUGUAUACAAUGUUCCGUGGGGAAAGCAGACUAUUGCGUAUGACGAAUUUCUUGCAGGCUUGUUGGGUACCGUCAUGGAGGUGGAUGCUGAGGCUGAUGGGAGCAGGGUUCGCGAGUUCUUGCGUAUACGUGUGGACCUGCCACUUGGCCGCCGGCUCCAGACCAAAAUUACCAUCGGCAAGGACCCGGCGAAACAAGUUAUCUACCCACUCCGUUACAAGAGGGUGCCCCACUACUGCUUCUGGUGUGGAUUCAUAGGCCACGAUGGCAACCAGUGCGAGAAGAAAAGGUUGGGUGUUCCGACCCGAGCAUAUGAUGAAGGGUUGAGGUGCUCUCCGUACAGAAAGUUUGAGAAUAGAUCAGGCGUUUGUGGCACCUGGAACCCAGCCUGCAGCAAGACGGGGGCUGAACUUUGCUAGUAAUGCUCCCUCUGAGGUUCUUGGAAAGCCAAGAGAGAGGCGUAGAGGGAAGGGAAGUCAAGAGCAGCAGCAAACACCAGAGAUACCAGUACGGGUUGAUGCUCACGACGGUUUUGGCGAACACAGCAGCUCUGACGGACACAACAUGGACACGGACAUUUCUGAUCGUGUUUUAGCUAUGCGUGUACACUUGGCUAGGCAGAGAGCUGAGGCCAGCAGAGUCCGUACGGUGCGGGCAUCAUCUGAACCUCCAGAGUUUGUCUUCCUUGGAGGUAGAAUACCUGCGCCCCUGCCACUUUCAGUACGCCCACCUAGGAGUGAGCCGAGCCACAGCAGCAACCUUGGGAGCAAGGAUAUGAUCCCGGCCAUGCGUAACCUUCACGACACCUCAGAUUUUUCAUCUGCUGAAUCCGAUCAAUACAUGCAAGAGGCUGAUUCUGUUCUGGGGAAGAAAUUUUCACGUGGGCAAGCGUCCGACGACCUGAAUCCCAACCAGGGAGCUAUGGUGGUGCAUGCAAAGAGGGGCGUUGUCAACAAGCAGAAACGAGGGAAGACUCAACAGAGUGGCAAAGGCAAGAACCAAGAUGAGGAGAAGAUGGACUCGGACAGCAUGGAUGGAGUGGAGGCAACCGGCCUUGGGGCCGCCGGUAAACUGACGGGGUCGGGUGCGCCGCCCCGUCAGGAGCAAUGAAUUGGCUAAGUUGGAACUGCCGGGGGGCGGGGAAUCCCUCGACAGUUCAUGAUCUCGCGUCUCUUGUUAUGACGCAAUCCCCAAGUCUUGUUUUCUUGUGUGAGACUAGGCAAAAUAAAAAUAAGAUGUAUCAUUUGCGUAAUAGGUUAGGGCUUUCUGGUUCUGAAGGAGUCAGUAGUAAUGGUCGUAGUGGCAGCCUAGCACUAUUUUGGCAUGAGUCUAUGUAUGUCGAUGUGCAAGAAGCUAUUGAAAGAUUGAUUGACGUGUAUUUGCGUGUCUCCCCGGACAAGCCAUUAUGGAGAGCUACAUUUGUUUAUGGCGAACCGAGAGUAGAAAAUAGACACAUGAUGUGGGAUAAGCUCAAAGGUCUGCAUGCUCAGAGCGCUCUGCCAUGGGUGAUUAUCGGUGACUUCAAUGAGGGUAUGUGGGAUUUUGAGCAUCAAUCGGAAACUCCGAGACCUGCUGGUCAAAUGAUUAAUUUUCAGGAUGCACUUGAAGCUUGUGGACUCACUGAUCUUGGUUUUUCAGGGCACCCCUUCGCAUAUGAUAAUAGGCGGAGUGGCCGGGCGAACGUCCAAGUUUGGCUGGAUAGAGCGGUGGCGUCCAAUGACUGGAGAGACAUGUUUAUGCAAGCUUCGGUGGCAAACCUUGUAUCGCCAGCGUCGGACCAUAGUCCACUGCUCCUCAAGUUCUCGCUGGAACAGGACAGGUGGCCUCACAGCAGCCGCCGGUACGAGUUGAUGUGGGAGAGAUCGCCGGCGUUAGAGGCCAUUAUCGCAAACUCUUGGUCAAGCAAAGGUACGAAGAGGAACCUGGGAGAUGUACGGGAGGCCCUUGCUACUGUUAUGGCUGAUCUACACACUUGGAGUAAUAAAACUUUUGGCAAUGUUACACGGGAGCUUGAAAAGUCACGUACUAGGCUUGAGGAACUAACCAAUAUGAAUGCAGACCGAGCUUAAAUAAGAUUGGAGAUGGACAAGAUGAAUGAGCUGUUAUACAGGGAGGAAAUGUUGUGGCUCCAGAGAUCUCGGAUUGUUUGUCUAAAGGAAGGGGAUCGUAACACCAAGAUGUUCCACAGGAAGGCAGUUUGGCGAGCGAGAAAGAAUAAAAUCCGAGGGCUGGAGGAUGAGGCGGGUGUUAUUCACACCGAUUAGGCCAACAUGCUACAGAUGGUAAAAUGUUAUUUUCAUAAUUUAUUCACAGCUGACCCAAUGUUGGAUCCACAUGAUGUGUUACAGCUUAUACAGCCCAAGGUGUCCGUGGAGAUGAACAAUAAUCUAUGCAAGGAUUUUACCGAUGAGGAGAUUUCUAAUGCAAUGUUCCAGAUAGGGCCCCUAAAGGUGCCGGGGCCGGAUGGGUUCCCCGCGAGAUUCUUCCAGCGGCAUUGGGCGUGAUGAAGGAUUACAUAAUUAAUGCGGUUAAAUUAUUUUUUGCCUCUGGAGUCAUGCCAGACGAGAUAAACAGCACGGUCAUUGUUUUGAUCCCCAAGAUUGACUCGCCGUCCCGACUCACUGAUUUUCGGCCUAUCAGUCUCUAUAAUGUCAUAUAUAAGGUGAUAGCCAAAUGCCUGGUCAAUAGGUUGAGGCCUAUUUUGGAUGAGUUGGUGUCCCCAGAGCAGAGCGCCUUUGUACCGGGCAGAUUAAUUACAGAUAAUGCAUUAAUCGCUUUUGAGUGUUUUCAUGCGAUCAAACAGGAGAAGGACCCGGAGCAGAGCUUUUGUGCCUAUAAACUGGACCUGUCCAAGGCUUACGAUCGGGUAGAUUGGGUUUUCUUGGAGUGAGUGAUGCAACAAAUCGGUUUCUCUAACCGAUGGGUGGAUUGGAUAAUGAGGUGUGUCACCUCGGUGAGGUAUUGUGUGAAAGUCAAUGGAGCCCUCUCGGAUUCAUUCGCACCGUCUCGUGGACUACGGCAGGGAGACCCCCUCUCACCUUUCCUUUUCCUUUUUGUUGCUGACGGUCUUGAUACUAUUCUAAAACAGGAGAUUGCAACCAACCGCCUCACUCCACUCCGGGUGUGCGCCCAAGCUCCAGGCAUCUCACACCUCCUGUUCGCGGAUGACACCUUAUUGUUCUUUCGUGCUAAUGGAGAGGAGGCUGCCCAAGUCAAAGAAGUUAUCAAUACAUAUGCUAGAGCUACGGGCCAGCUCAUAAAUCCUGCCAAGUGCUCUAUAAUGUUCAGCCCCAAAUGUUCACAAGCUAACAAGCAGGAGGUCAUGCACAACUUGGACGUGGUGAAUAUGAGCUUUGAGCAGAAAUAUCUUGGCUUUCCAACGCCAAGUGGCCGCUUUUCAAAAGGGAAACUACACAAUCUUCAGCAACACCUGACAAAGAGAAUUAUACAGUGGGGAGAAUUGAUGUCCCAAGCAGGACGUGAGGUUCUUAUUAAGGCGGUGGCGCAGGCCCUACCCACCUUCCUAAUGAGUUUGUUUAAAUUUCCUAGAAGCACCUGCGAUGAUUUGGGGCAGAUGAUUCGUAGCUACUGGUGGGGCACGUACAGAGGCAAGAGGAAAACCCACUGGAAAUCUUGGGACUCGAUGCUAAGGCCCAAAUCGGCUGGGGGUAUGGGAUUCAAGGACUUCAGACUCUUCAACCAAGCAAUGUUAGCUCGGCAAGCAUGGCGUAUUUUGGUCAACCCGGAAUGUCUUUGUACGCGCGUCUUGAAGGCAAGGUAUUUCCCUAAUGGACGAUUAUAAGAUACUGUUUUCACUAGCAACGCGUCGCAAACUUGGCAGGCCAUUGUGCAUGGGUUGGAAUUGCUGAAGAAAGGCUUAGUCUGGCGCAUCGGUAACGGGCAGUCGAUCCGAAUUUGGCGGGACUCCUGGAUACCACACCCUGUUGGUCGGCCACCAAUUACCCAACAAGGAAGGUGCUGUCUCCGCCGAGUCUCGGAGCUACUAGACGAGCAUGGUGCAUGGCGCGGAACCCUACUUCAACAGUACUUUUUGCCCGUUGAUGUUCAGGAGAUACUAAAGAUUAAAGCGUCCCCUCGGCUGGGGGCAGAUUUCCUUGCAUGGGAUGCAGAACGUACUGGUAUCUUCACCGUACUUAGCGCGUACCGGCUGGCGCUUGAGGACAAGCUUUGUCCCUCUUCAGUCGCAGCGAGCAGGGCACCGGACGGGCGACGUGCCGUCUGGGCAUUAUUAUGGAGGUGCCCUGCUCCUCCUAAGGUGCGUGUGUUUGCAUGGCGUUUGGCUACUAACUCCCUUGCCACAUGGUCUAAUAAAUUUAGUCGACACAUGGAGGUUACUGAUAUAUGCCCAUUAUGUGGUCUCGAGCGCGAGGACACUUUUCAUGUGUUUUGCAGGUGCCCUCGGACGGUGCAUUUGUGGCGGACUAUGGCGGAGGUGUGGAGUAUACCGGACAUCGAGUCAGUCCGUAACACCGGCCCAGAGUGGCUCCUGAACCUAAUUGCAGAAAGCAAUGAAGGGGACCGGCUGCGCCUGAUUAUGCUUUUGUGGAGAUGUUGGCAUGUGUGCAACAAGAUCACUCAUGACAAACCGGCGCCGCCUGUGGAGGUAUCCCGUCGCUUUUUGCAGAGCUACGUAACCUCACUGCUCGGGAUCCAGCAGUAUCCACAGGGAGAUUGGGACAAAGGGAAGAUGACCAUCCAACAAGAAGGUGCAGAACAACCUAUAUCACACGUGGGAGGUGUGCCACGAAUAGUCCACAAAUGGAGUCCCCCACCCGCCAACUGGACGAAGCUGAAUGUCGAUGGCUCCUUUUCCCAUGAUGACGGGAGGGCCGGGACGGGAAUGGUGCUCCGUGACCAGGAAGGGGCCAUUAUUUUCUCCGUGUGUCGCUCGCUAUGGUCUUGACCGGACCCUCUACAUGCCGAGCUGGCUGGGUGCAUGGAGGGCAUAGCUUUGGCCCUCCAAUGGACAGAGUUGCCGUUUAUCGCCGAGUGCGAUAGUCUGCAGGCAGUGCAACUGAUAAAUGCCUCAGGACAAGACCGCUCGCAGUAUGCCAUGGUGGUCUCGGAAGUGAAGCAUCUUGUGUUGAAAGGGAGUGUCAUGUUAUUCAUAUUUCUCGAGAUCAGAAUAAUGUAAGCCAUGCGUUGGCGAAAUUUGGAAGGACGGAGGACCGUACUGUGGUCUGGCUCCGCUCCGGCCCGGACAAUAUCCCUAGCUUGUGUAGGGAGGACCUUCUUGGCUCUUGAGUAAUACAAAUCCCUUUUACCCCGCAAAAAAAAAUUCUAACUGAUUUAACAUAAACAUUUUGGCUAAAAAAAGGUUAAUCAAUUGACAAUAUUGCAACAUAUGCAUGAGGAUCCCUCGAAAAAAAACAUAUGCAUGAGGAUAAUAUUUAUGCUCCGUUGAAACGCACGAGCAAUUAUCUAGGAUGAUGGGACUUAACAAAUUGUCAAAUUUGGAGGGAACACCAGAUGGAUUUGGAUUGGGCUGACAACAAGUGAAGUAAUAAUAAUAGAGUGGCCAAAGAGCUGAAGUUGAGGGGCUCCUGAUAGAUCCAUUUGUUGGCCCGUGGCAAUGCACGGGCGUUCUACUAGUUUUCAUUAAUAGAUCCAUUUCCCCUCAAUCUCUGGCAAAUUCUUUGGGGCGUGCUACGCGUCAGCCGGCGGAUCUUUUUAAAAGAUCCAUCAGGUUCUGAGCCUUCGAAUCUGACAUGAUCUCGCGGCCGAGCGUCUUCCUCACUUUUGUAACAGAAAUCGUGUUGUGAGAACCCUUUUGCAACAUAGGUCUUGUUGCAUAAACGUCAUCGCGUAGAACAACACUAGCACACUUGUGGGAACUGUUGUUAUGGCGGCACCAGCGGUUGUGACUGAGCUCGAGGAGGCAACAACCAUGCAUGCUUGUCCACGCCGGUGCUCCCUCGGGAGGGCGGGGUGACGGCGGACGCGGCUCCCCGUGGAUGCGGAUGCCGGUGCUUUCCCGAUACGGCGGACGCGACUUGAGGACUUGGGGCGGCUUCAAAUGGAACCUGCGUCCUGCGGGGAUGAGAGUUCGGAGAAAGAGAGGAAAAUGGCUGGGAGAAGACAACGGAGGUUUUUGAAGAUAAGGUAAGGGGCACAUGGCUGGUUGGGGCUAGUAAAAACAUAUGUGAACGUCUGCGGUAUGAUCAGAUGGGAUCCAAUGUUGUAUGGGCGGCGGAACGUUGUCCGUGAUCGGUGAAUGAUUUCUCUAAACUUUUUUACCAUUUGUUAAUUACAUUUGUCAAAAUUUUAUUGUGGAAGUGGGUACAUCUCAGUCGACUGAGACUUAACCUCAGUCAAGUGAUAUAGUACAAGGAGAAAAAGAAAAGAAAAAUGAAGAAUCCUUUUUGCAUGGAUCUCCAUGCAAGAUCAAAGGAAUAUAGCAUCGAUUGAGACAAAACAAAGUCUCAGUCGACGGAGUACUCAGCAAAACUAUUUUAUUAUCGGAAUCAAUUACUUCCGAACGACCAGUAUUUUAAGCUUUUGGGCCGAACGUGCUUUUCAUCAUUGGAUUCAGGUAUGAAUCUUAGAACAGAGGAAAUUAGCCAGGUCAGCUUUUUAUUUCGUUCGAGGAAAUUGACUACCGCCGCGAAUGCUCCCCACCACCACUCCUGUGUUUCCCCGUCCCAGCCACUCCUUACCCAUUUCUCUGCCACACAGUCGCCCCAUCUACCCCCACCAACACCGUCCCAGCCCUUUCGUUUACUCUGGCGACGGUGUUGGCGGUGAUCCCAGCGUGGUUCAGUGGCGCUAUGUGGAGAUGGAGGCUCACGCGCAUCAUGCGGUUGGUGGAUCUCGGCUGCUGCGGCCAUGUCGAUGGCGGCGGAGGCGAGGGACCCACACUUGCUGGUGUCGUGAUUCCAGUGGGCCGGAGCUGUUGGAGGUGAGGACUGGAGGUGCUCCUUUCCGCGCGUUGUCUCCGUCAGCCACCUCGACCCCUGGUGGAGGGGCGGUCUCAAGUCUCACCGACGGUUUCUCGGUGCGUGGCCCCGUGUUGAUGGCGGCAGAUAGACCGGCUGUAUGCCUGGUCGUGCUGCUAUUUUGGAGGGUAGGAGAUCAGGCUCGCGGGUGCCCGCGCCCAAUCUGAAGCCGGGAGGGAGACGCUCUUGUGUAGUUGUGUGUGCCCAUCGUCGCUGCAGCAGCUCCGCUCGUGCACGCCAGCAAGAGCUCCGCCGCCAGCUCCUGUCGCUUUGGGUCUUACAUCAUCUGCCGCAUCCCCAAACAUCAUCGACUGUGGCCCUAUCCGGUGAGCACCAACCUCUCUUUUUUGCUUGUAACUAGAUGCUGCUUUGUGGCACCACAAGAAAUAUGUCAACUUGUGACCCUUGCUAUUGGGCAUUGAAAGGUCAUUGUUUUCAUUUGCGACUUUUUUGUGACCAAAAACAGAAGGUCAAAAGCUGGCAGUCGUAAACUGAAAUUAGUGACCUUCUUUGUGAUAUGUAAAAGGUCGUUGGUUCCAUGACCAAAUUUUUGGUCACUAGCAACCUCCCCAUGCCACGUAGGCAUCCAGCGUGGCAAGCUGGUGUGACACAAGAUUCAGCCCGGUCCAAUUCGGUUUUCUACAUGGGCCUAGCCCAACAAUUCAGCCUUUUUACUGUAUAUUUUCUCUAUUAAUUUUCUCUAGCUAUAUGGGCCUAGCCCAACAAUUUGGCAUUUUUAUUUUCUAGGCAUGGCCUUUUGCGGUCCAUUUCAUUUUUAUUUUCGAGGGUUUUUUGUGGUCCAGUUUUUAGAUGGGUCCCAAUUGUCAGAUUUUUCCUGGCAGUAGAUCCACAUCGCUUUUUAAGCAGUAUAUAUAAAACAGGAAGAAGAAAAGAAUAUGAAAAUCUUCAAAUAACAACUAAAAUAGGUUUAUUACAAUAUAUUCUGUGCAGAACAGAACAUGUGAAACUCCAUACACUCGUUCACAUCACAACAACCAGUUUAACCUACAAAUAUUGCAUGCCCAGGAACUUAAAACUUCACGUACAUAACCAUACAAUAUUCCACACAAUCACAAAUAUUGUGAUUGAAAAAUAAAACACUCUGCCAAGUUAAAGCUAGCUAUUCUUGGAUACCAUGGAACAUGCUCUUCAACAUAGGAAGAAGUCAUCAAUGGUGUUCUAUCAACAACACAAGCUCCAUUCACCUACAAGAACAGAAUGGAAUAUCAAGUACUUGGAUCGUUCAAGCAGAUUACAAGCAACAUAUAUAUAUAUAUAUAUAUAUAUAUGUAGAAGUACAUCAGAAAAUAUGAUGGAGCAAUCGGACAACAAAUACAUUAAGUAAACAGCCCAACCGAUGAGUGAUGACGACAAGCAAAGAGUAUAAACCCAGGUUUGGACAUAAAUAGUGUCAACUCAAGUAGAACAUAAUAAGGCAGUAAACUCAAGCAGAACAUAAUUAAGCACGAUGAAAGGGACCAUCCAAUUAAAUUCCAUUCCCAUCUUCUUCAGUAAGG
rnacentral:lncRNA from 1 species